GGAAAGAUGAAAAGAACUUUGAAAAGAGAGUUAAACAGUACGUGAAAUUGUUGAAAGGGAAACGAUUGAAGUCAGUCGUGCUGGCGCGAAAUCAACCCUCUCGUCGAGAGGUCACAUGGCGUGGCGAGCCUCAAAACCGUCACGAAGCGUGAACUCUUGGCGAAAAGGAGCACUUUCGUGUCCGCUGGUUAACAUCAAUUUCGAACGUCAUAAAAAGGCUGGAGGGAUGUGGCUCCUUCGGGAGUGUUAUAACCUUUAGCGGAAUGUGGUGGUCGGGAUUGAGGAUUGCAACGAAUACCUUUAGGGCUGUUCCACCUGGCUUCUCUUUGGUAUCCUGGUGAAGACAGCUUGCUGACUUUGUUAGGAUUCGCCUUUGAACAGGCUAGAGUGUGAGCAAAUUCGUUAAGGAUGUUAACGUAAUGGCUUUAAACGACCCGUCUUGAAACACGGACCA
rnacentral:rRNA from 1 species